AUUGAACGCUAGCGGGAUGCUUUACACAUGCAAGUCGAACGGCGGCGCGGACUUCGGUCUGGCGGCGAGUGGCGAACGGGUGAGUAAUGUAUCGGAACGUGCCCAGUAGCGGGGGAUAACUACGCGAAAGCGUAGCUAAUACCGCAUACGCCCUACGGGGGAAAGCAGGGGAUCGUAAGACCUUGCACUAUUGGAGCGGCCGAUAUCGGAUUAGCUAGUUGGUGAGGUAACGGCUCACCAAGGCGACGAUCCGUAGCUGGUUUGAGAGGACGACCAGCCACACUGGGACUGAGACACGGCCCAGACUCCUACGGGAGGCAGCAGUGGGGAAUUUUGGACAAUGGGGGCAACCCUGAUCCAGCCAUCCCGCGUGUGCGAUGAAGGCCUUCGGGUUGUAAAGCACUUUUGGCAGGAAAGAAACGUCGCGGGCUAAUACCCCGUGGAACUGACGGUACCUGCAGAAUAAGCACCGGCUAACUACGUG
rnacentral:rRNA from 1 species